UGGGGAAUAUUGCACAAUGGGGGAAACCCUGAUGCAGCGACGCCGCGUAAGCGAAGAAGGUUUUCGAAUCGUAAAGCUCUGUCCUAUGAGAAGAUAAUGACGGUAUCAUAGGAGGAAGCCCCGGCUAAAUACGUGCCAGCAGCCGCGGUAAUACGUAUGGGGCGAGCGUUGUCCGGAAUUAUUGGGCGUAAAGGGUACGUAGGCGGUCUAUUAAGUCAGGUGUGAAAGCGUGAGGCUUAACCUCAUUAAGCACUUGAAACUGAUAGACUUGAGUGAAGGAGAGGAAAGUGGAAUUCCUAGUGUAGCGGUGAAAUGCGUAGAUAUUAGGAGGAAUACCGGUGGCGAAGGCGACUUUCUGGACUUUUACUGACGCUCAGGUACGAAAGCGUGGGGAGCAAACAGG
rnacentral:rRNA from 1 species